rnacentral:rRNA from 1 species
UACAGAGGGUGCGAGCGUUGUUCGGAAUUACUGGGCGUAAAGCGUGCGCAGGCGGUGAUGUAAGACAGUUGUGAAAUCCCCGGGCUCAACCUGGGAACUGCAUCUGUGACUGCAUCGCUGGAGUGCGGCAGAGGGGGAUGGAAUUCCGCGUGUAGCAGUGAAAUGCGUAGAUAUGCGGAGGAACACCGAUGGCGAAGGCAGGUCUCUGGGCUGACACUGACGCUCAUGCACGAAAGCGUGGGGGAGCAAACAGG